CACUAUCGUUAACUGAAUACAUAGGUUAACGAGGCGAACCGGGGGAACUGAAACAUCUAAGUACCCCGAGGAAAAGAAAUCAACCGAGAUUCCCCCAGUAGCGGCGAGCGAACGGGGAGCAGCCCAGAGUCUGAAUCAGCUUGUGUGUUAGUGGAACGGUCUGGAAAGUCCGACGGUACAGGGUGAUAGUCCCGUACACCAAAAUGCACAGGUUGUGAACUCGAAGAGUAGGGCGGGACACGUGGUAUCCUGUCUGAAUAUGGGGGGACCAUCCUCCAAGGCUAAAUACUCCUGACUGACCGAUAGUGAACCAGUACCGUGAGGGAAAGGCGAAAAGAACCCCGGCGAGGGGAGUGAAAAAGAACCUGAAACCGUGUACGUACAAGCAGUGGGAGCACCUUCGGGUGUGACUGCGUACCUUUUGUAUAAUGGGUCAGCGACUUAUAUUCUGUAGCAAGGUUAACCGUAUAGGGGAGCCGCAGGGAAACCGAGUCUUAACUGGGCGUUAAGUUGCAGGGUAUAGACCCGAAACCCGGUGAUCUAGCCAUGGGCAGGUUGAAGGUUGGGUAACACUAACUGGAGGACCGAACCGACUAAUGUUGAAAAAUUAGCGGAUGACUUGUGGCUGGGGGUGAAAGGCCAAUCAAACCGGGAGAUAGCUGGUUCUCCCCGAAAGCUAUUUAGGUAGCGCCUCGUGAAUUCAUCUUCGGGGGUAGAGCACUGUUUCGGCUAGGGGGUCAUCCCGACUUACCAACCCGAUGCAAACUACGAAUACCGAAGAAUGUUAUCACGGGAGACACACGGCGGGUGCUAACGUCCGUCGUGAAGAGGGAAACAACCCAGACCGCCAGCUAAGGUCCCAAAGUCAUGGUUAAGUGGGAAACGAUGUGGGAAGGCACAGACAGCCAGGAUGUUGGCUUAGAAGCAGCCAUCAUUUAAAGAAAGCGUAAUAGCUCACUGGUCGAGUCGGCCUGCGCGGAAGAUGUAACGGGGCUAAACCAUGCACCGAAGCUGCGGCAGCGACACUAUGUGUUGUUGGGUAGGGGAGCGUUCUGUAAGCCUGCGAAGGUGUGCUGUGAGGCAUGCUGGAGGUAUCAGAAGUGCGAAUGCUGACAUAAGUAACGAUAAAGCGGGUGAAAAGCCCGCUCGCCGGAAGACCAAGGGUUCCUGUCCAACGUUAAUCGGGGCAGGGUGAGUCGACCCCUAAGGCGAGGCCGAAAGGCGUAGUCGAUGGGAAACAGGUUAAUAUUCCUGUACUUGGUGUUACUGCGAAGGGGGGACGGAGAAGGCUAUGUUAGCCGGGCGACGGUUGUCCCGGUUUAAGCAUGUAGGCUGGUUGUCCAGGCAAAUCCGGAUAAUCAAGGCUGAGGUGUGAUGACGAGGCACUACGGUGCUGAAGUAACAAAUGCCCUGCUUCCAGGAAAAGCCUCUAAGCAUCAGGUAACAUUAAAUCGUACCCCAAACCGACACAGGUGGUCAGGUAGAGAAUACCAAGGCGCUUGAGAGAACUCGGGUGAAGGAACUAGGCAAAAUGGUGCCGUAACUUCGGGAGAAGGCACGCUGGUGUGUAGGUGAAGUCCCUGCGGAUGGAGCUGAGACCAGUCGAAGAUACCAGCUGGCUGCAACUGUUUAUUAAAAACACAGCACUGUGCAAACACGAAAGUGGACGUAUACGGUGUGACGCCUGCCCGGUGCCGGAAGGUUAAUUGAUGGGGUUAUCCGUAAGGAGAAGCUCUUGAUCGAAGCCCCGGUAAACGGCGGCCGUAACUAUAACGGUCCUAAGGUAGCGAAAUUCCUUGUCGGGUAAGUUCCGACCUGCACGAAUGGCGUAAUGAUGGCCAGGCUGUCUCCACCCGAGACUCAGUGAAAUUGAACUCGCUGUGAAGAUGCAGUGUACCCGCGGCAAGACGGAAAGACCCCGUGAACCUUUACUAUAGCUUGACACUGAACAUUGAGCCUUGAUGUGUAGGAUAGGUGGGAGGCUUUGAAGCGUGGACGCCAGUCUGCGUGGAGCCAACCUUGAAAUACCACCCUUUAAUGUUUGAUGUUCUAACGUUGGCCCCUUACCGGGGUUGCGGACAGUGUCUGGUGGGUAGUUUGACUGGGGCGGUCUCCUCCCAAAGCGUAACGGAGGAGCACGAAGGUUAGCUAAUCCUGGUCGGACAUCAGGAGGUUAGUGCAAUGGCAUAAGCUAGCUUGACUGCGAGCGUGACGGCGCGAGCAGGUGCGAAAGCAGGUCAUAGUGAUCCGGUGGUUCUGAAUGGAAGGGCCAUCGCUCAACGGAUAAAAGGUACUCCGGGGAUAACAGGCUGAUACCGCCCAAGAGUUCAUAUCGACGGCGGUGUUUGGCACCUCGAUGUCGGCUCAUCACAUCCUGGGGCUGAAGUAGGUCCCAAGGGUAUGGCUGUUCGCCAUUUAAAGUGGUACGCGAGCUGGGUUUAGAACGUCGUGAGACAGUUCGGUCCCUAUCUGCCGUGGGCGCUGGAGAAUUGAGGGGGGCUGCUCCUAGUACGAGAGGACCGGAGUGGACGCAUCACUGGUGUUCGGGUUGUCAUGCCAAUGGCACUGCCCGGUAGCUAAAUGCGGAAGAGAUAAGUGCUGAAAGCAUCUAAGCACGAAACUUGCCCCGAGAUGAGUUCUCCCUGAGACUUUAAGUCUCCUGAAGGAACGUU
rnacentral:rRNA from 1 species